UACGUAGGGUGCAAGCGUUGUCCGGAAUUAUUGGGCGUAAAGAGCUCGUAGGCGGUUUGUCGCGUCUGCCGUGAAAGUCCGGGGCUCAACUCCGGAUCUGCGGUGGGUACGGGCAGACUAGAGUGAUGUAGGGGAGACUGGAAUUCCUGGUGUAGCGGUGAAAUGCGCAGAUAUCAGGAGGAACACCGGUGGCGAAGGCGGUUCUCUGGGCCUUACCUGACGCUGAGGAGCGAAAGCGUGGGGAGCAAACAGG
rnacentral:rRNA from 1 species